rnacentral:rRNA from 1 species
GAUGAACGCUGGCGGCGUGCUCAACGCAUGCCAGUCGAACGGUGAAGGCGGAGCUUGCUCUGCUGGAUCAGUGGCGAACGGGUGAGUAACACGUGAGCAAUCUGCCCCUGACUCUGGGAUAAGCGCUGGAAACGGCGUCUAAUACUGGAUACGAGCUGCGAAGGCAUCUUCAGCAGCUGGAAAGAAUUUCGGUCAGGGAUGAGCUCGCGGCCUAUCAGCUUGUUGGUGAGGUAAUGGCUCACCAAGGCGUCGACGGGUAGCCGGCCUGAGAGGGUGACCGGCCACACUGGGACUGAGACACGGCCCAGACUCCUACGGGAGGCAGCAGUGGGGAAUAUUGCACAAUGGGCGAAAGCCUGAUGCAGCAACGCCGCGUGAGGGACGACGGCCUUCGGGUUGUAAACCUCCUUUAGCAGGGAAGAAGCGAAAGUGACGGUACCUGCAGAAAAAGCGCCGGCUAACUACGUG